rnacentral:rRNA from 1 species
GCAGUCGAACGGAACACCCUUGACAGAGGUUUCGGCCAAUGAAGAGGGCUGUUUAGUGGCGGACUGGUGAGUAACGCGUGAGGAGCCUGCCUUUCAGAGGGGGACAACAGCUGGAAACGGCUGCUAAUACCGCAUGAUGCAUAACUGGGACAUCCCGGAUAUGCCAAAGAUUUAUCGCUGAAAGAUGGCCUCGCGUCUGAUUAGCUAGUUGGUGGGGUAACGGCCUACCAAGGCGACGAUCAGUAGCCGGACUGAGAGGUUGACCGGCCACAUUGGGACUGAGAUACGGCCCAGACUCCUACGGGAGGCAGCAGUGGGGAAUAUUGGGCAAUGGACGCAAGUCUGACCCAGCAACGCCGCGUGAAGGAAGAAGGCUUUCGGGUUGUAAACUUCUUUUAAGGGGGAAGAGCAGAAGACGGUACCCCUUGAAUAAGCCACGGCUAACUACGUGCCAGCAGCCGCGGUAAUACGUAGGUGGCGAGCGUUGUCCGGAUUUACUGGGUGUAAAGGGCGUGCAGCCGGGAAUGCAAGUCAGAUGUGAAAUCUGGAGGCUCAACCUCCAAACUGCAUUUGAAACUGUGUUUCUUGAGUGUCGGAGAGGUAAUCGGAAUUCCUUGUGUAGCGGUGAAAUGCGUAGAUAUAAGGAAGAACACCAGUGGCGAAGGCGGAUUACUGGACGAUAACUGACGGUGAGGCGCGAAAGCGUGGGGAGCAAACAGGAUUAGAUACCCUGGUAGCCCACGCUGUAAACGAUCAAUACUAGGUGUGCGGGGACUGACCCCCUGCGUGCCGCAGUUAACACAAUAAGUAUUGCAC